UAUAUUUUAUGGGGUCGGAAACGCUUUUUUCUGGGUGUUAAAUCCACUUCCACCACAAAUCUGAUAUAACCCUAUACUCUUUAAGUAUCGGGUAUAAAAACCGAAGAGUCCCUUAAAUACUCUAGUAGUUAUUGCCCUCAAAUUAGCAUUUAAUAUCUUCAUAUUCACAUUUAUAAUAUCUUCAUAACAUCAACUGAAAUUGAAUAGCAAUAUUGUGUACAUGUAUCUAUGAGCCUGUCUUCAAUUAAGUUGAAAAUUCUUGGAACCUACUUCUGACUCAACGAAAUCAAAUUUCGCAAGACAUCUCCAUUGCAAAAACUGAUUUUCUCAGAACGAAGCAUUCCUUAGGAUGGUUUUUUGCAGACUCAACGAAACUUAAAUUUCGUAUGGUAUCUCCAUUUCGUAAGUACAAAAGAGUUUUACCGACUUUUCCAAUUAAAGUUAGCAUACAAUUUCCUGUUUAAAGGAUGAUUUCGUUGAAUUUUAAGUCUGGCAACUUUCCAACUUGUUGCUGACUCAUGGGAAUCGAUUUUCCACAGAGAUAUUCGCGUUCAGAACUGAAAUUUCACCACACAAACCAAUUAUAACGAAUUCCACAGCUGUUUUUGGCACUCCGCAAGCCAGGCGCUGACUCAUCUAAUUACAUUUCGCAUGGUAUCUCCACUUUACAAUUUUGUUUCAGACCAGCUUCGUUCUCACUUGUUCACAUUAGACUUUCGCCAUAUACAUAUUGUAUGUAUCUAUCUCUUACGGCCUGAAAUUUCAGUCGCUAAAACCCUUCACACAUGACGUACAACAUUGCCUGACGUAAUCCAUCUGCCGGCAGAUCUCGCGAGCUGAAAUUUCACACAGACAACACCACAGAGGAGUGGUUCGCUACCUGCGAACGUACACCCCUUAUAUACCUUUUAUCUUCAGCUGUACCUUUGGCAGCAUAUCUCUUUUGGAACAUUCAAGAAUUUCAUAUCGAGAACCCCACAGAAAUAUAUUAUCUUUUCGUGCCGGACAGAAACGAAAAAACAUUUACCGAAAGCUCUUGUUGUGGAUUUUCAUUUUUCAGCUUUUUAACUGCGAGGCGAGUCAUGUGGCGAUGAAUGAGUUUUGGAGUUCUGGAUAGUUAGAAUAGCUUAACAAGUGCGACUGUGCAGAGGUCGAUCACGUCCAAGCAUAUGUAUAAUGAGUGUCCGGAUCGGCUCGGAACGGAUCUGGCUGGGACGAGGCUCUGGUUCCGGCUCUGGCUGUGACCUUGCGCCGUUGCUUGUUGGCCGACCCGACUGCUAAACUACGCGAGUUGCGCAUUUUAAUAUGCUACAGGUACAACCGGAGAGAAGAGGAGGGAGCCGUAGUGUAGCGCUUUGACACAUAACUGAUGUUGAAGGGCCCGCCGAAUGCGAUAAAUAAUUCAUUGAUAUAGUUAUACAUAUUGUUUACUGUGGGGUGUUGUUAGAUUCCUCGAGUGACGGCGGCGAGUCGGAAGGCGUUUUGAUAUUGUACCUCCAUGAAUAAUUGAUUUAUCUCUGGUCACUUGAGAGUUUGUUACCCACUAGUAGCAAUAGAAUGGCACUCAGUGGUGCGAUAAGGAGCCAUCAUCGGUGGACUGCACAACGAUCCAUAUACAUAUGAAUCACAGCACACUGCAUAGCUUUAGCAUAGCACCUACGCCUCGUCCGACAACACGUCUUAAAAUAACAGACUGAAAACGUAUGUAGAGCAAAACACAUGUUGAUAGUACAUAUAUGGGUCAUUGCCGAUAAGCAUUCUAUUGCAUAUUUUACCAAAAUUUUUUGUGUUUUGCGUAAUUGGGCUUUAAUGAUAGCAAGAAAAAUGGAAAUGAAAAUGGCACUUAAAUAUACAUAGUAUGUAUGUAUAAAAAAAUAUACUAAAAUAGCAUAAAA